rnacentral:lncRNA from 1 species
UCUACUAUUGUUAAGCUCAUUAAACAAAAUCCUUUGAGCAUUUCAAGGAUACCCCUUUUCAUAGAAAGGAAGUUACUAUCACAUUGGAUGAAGUCCAAACGUCUCUGGGUCCAAGGAGCUUUCAAUGAUAAAAUAUUUAAAGGUUAGCUCAAAGGCUUGAGUGUGUCAAGAGAAAUGAGUGAUAGUAGAGGAAACCAAAAUGGUAAAAUCCAAUUCAGAGUAAAAAACCUAUAUUUUUGAUAACUCGAAGUUUAAA